rnacentral:rRNA from 1 species
AUUGAACGCUGGCGGCAGGCCUAACACAUGCAAGUCGAACGGUAACAGGAAACAGCUUGCUGUUUCGCUGACGAGUGGCGGACGGGUGAGUAAUGUCUGGGAAACUGCCUGAUGGAGGGGGAUAACUACUGGAAACGGUAGCUAAUACCGCAUAACGUCGCAAGACCAAAGAGGGGGACCUUCGGGCCUCUUGCCAUCGGAUGUGUCCAGAUGGGAUUAGCUAGUAGGUGGGGUAACGGCUCACCUAGGCGACGAUCCCUAGCUGGUCUGAGAGGAUGACCAGCCACACUGGAACUGAGACACGGUCCAGACUCCUACGGGAGGCAGCAGUGGGGAAUAUUGCACAAUGGGCGCAAGCCUGAUGCAGCCAUGCCGCGUGUAUGAAGAAGGCCUUCGGGUUGUAAAGUACUUUCAGCGGGGAGGAAGGGAGUAAAGUUAAUACCUUUGCUCAUUGACGUUACCCGCAGAAGAAGCACCGGCUAACUCCGUG